CCAUUCUGAGUCGCCAAAUACAUGGUACAUAAAGCAAACUACAACUUCAAUAAUACAAAUGUCGUGUGAAAUACGACAAUACAUACUGUGAGUUUAAAUACAAAUAUUGUCUUCUAGACAAUAUCCACACGCAAAUAAGUCCUCAUUACAAUUAUUCAAAUACUAUUUUAUAGAAAUAGAGAGGACUGCUAAAACAUCUUCCUAGAACCAUCACUCCAUACCCCGACUCGAUCCUGCUAUGUUCUCACCUCCUGAG
rnacentral:lncRNA from 1 species